rnacentral:lncRNA from 1 species
GAGCGUCCUGCUUUUGCAGUGAGUGGGGAUUCUCUCUUUUAUGCCAAAGACCGGUUUUUAAGAUAUUAUGAGUUUUCAACUCAAAGAGAGGCGCAAGUAAUUCCAAUUCGACGGCCUGGUUCCACAACCUUGAAUCAAAGUCCAAGGACCCUUUCUUACAGUCCUACAGAAAAUGCUGUUCUUAUCUGCUCAGAUGUGGAUGGAGGAUCGUAUGAGUUGUAUGUGAUACCAAAAGACAGCAUUGGUAGGGGUGACAGUUUGCAGGAGGCAAAGAGAGGUCUUGGGAGUUCUGCUAUAUUUGUGGCUCGAAAUCGGUUUGCUGUGCUCGACAAAGGCAACAACCAAGUCUUAAUUAAGAAUCUAAAAAAUGAAGUAGUUAAAAAGAGUGGCCUCCCAGUGCCUACGGAUGCGAUAUUUUAUGCUGGAACAGGUAACUUGUUGUGUAGGUCAGAGGAUAGAGUAGUUAUAUUUGAUCUCCAGCAGAGGAUUGUUCUUGGUGAUCUUCAAACCCCCUUUGUGAAGUAUAUUGUUUGGUCAAAUGAUAUGGAAAGUGUUGCUUUGCUCAGCAAGCAUGCCAUUAUCAUUACUAACAAGAAGCUUAUGCACCAGUGCACUCUUCAUGAGACAAUACGUGUAAAAAGUGGAGGCUGGGAUGACAAUGGUGUUUUUAUUUACACCACCCUAAACCAUAUAAAAUACUGCCUUCCCAAUGGAGAUAGUGGAAUAAUUCGAACGCUUGAUGUUCCAAUAUACAUAACAAAGGUUUCAGGAAAUACUUUAUUUUGCCUGGAUCGUGAUGGGAAGAAUAGGACUGUAGUCAUUGAUGCUACAGAAUACAUUUUCAAGCUCUCUCUGCUUCGGAAGAGAUAUGAUCAUGUUAUGAGCAUGAUAAGAAACUCCCAGCUUUGUGGUGAGGCCAUGAUUGCUUAUCUGCAACAAAAGGGGUUCCCUGAAGUGGCUCUCCAUUUUGUCAAAGAUGAGAAAACACGCUUUAAUUUGGCUCUAGAGAGUGGGAACAUUCAAAUUGCUGUUGCAUCAGCUAAGGAGAUAGAUGACAAAGAUCAUUGGUAUAGGUUGGGUGUGGAGGCUCUUCGCCAAGGCAAUGCAGGUAUAGUGGAAUAUGCUUAUCAGAAGACAAAAAACUUUGAGAGGUUGUCUUUUCUUUAUCUCAUAACCGGUAAUCUGGAAAAGCUAUCCAAGAUGCUGAAAAUUGCAGAAGUUAAGAAUGAUGUUAUGGGUCAGUUUCACAAUGCUUUGUAUCUUGGUGAUAUCCAGGAACGAGUUAAAAUCUUGGAGAAUUCUGGUCACUUGCCUCUUGCUUACAUUACAGCAUCAGUCCAUGGUCUACAGGAUGUGGCUGAAAGGUUAGCAGCUGAGUUGGGAGAUGAUGUCCCUCCUUUGCCAGAGGGGAAAGAACCUUCCCUUUUGAUGCCUUCUGCCCCCGUUUUAUGUGGUGGUGAUUGGCCCCUUCUGAGAGUCAUGAAAGGCAUAUUUGAAGGUGGAUUGGAUAGCGGUAUUGGCAGGGGUGCUGUGGAUGAAGAGGAGGAGGGUGUAGAAGGUGAUUGGGGUGAAGAUCUUGAUGUGGUUGAUGUUGAUGGCUUACAGAAUGGUGAUGUUACUGCAAUUUUGGAGGAUGGGGAAGUAGCUGAAGAAAAUGAAGAAGAGGGUGGAUGGGACCUUGAAGAUUUGGAACUUCCCCCUGAGGCAGACACCCCAAAGGUCUCUGGGAAUGCUCGGUCUUCUGUUUUUGUGGCACCUACUCUGGGUAUGCCUGUAAGUCAGAUUUGGAUUCAGAGAUCAUCUCUUGCUGCUGAACAUGCAGCAGCUGGCAAUUUUGAUACGGCAAUGCGUUUGCUUAGCAGGCAACUUGGCAUUAGAAACUUUGCCCCUUUGAAAUUGAUGUUUCUUGAUCUUGACACUGGUAGCCGUAGCUAUCUCCGUGCAUUUGCAUCUGCACCAGUGGUUUCACUGGCAGUUGAGCGGGGAUGGAAUGAAUCUGCUAGUCCUAAUGUGAGGGGUCCACCAGCACUUGUGUUCAAUUCCUCUCAAUUGGAUGAAAAGGUGAAUGCCGGUUACAAGGCCACGACGGCUGGGAAAUUCACUGAAGCUCUUCGGCUUUUCCUUAACAUUCUUCAUACAAUUCCAUUGAUUGUUGUGGAGUCAAGGAGGGAAGUUGACGAAGUCAAGGAAUUGAUUAUUAUUGCUAAGGAGUAUGUUCUUGGUCUACAGAUGGAGCUUAAGAGGAAAGAAAUGAAAGACAAUCCAGUACGCCAGCAGGAGCUUGCUGCCUACUUCACCCACUGCAACCUUCGGACACCUCACUUAAGGCUUGCUUUGCAAAAUGCAAUGUCUGUAUGCUUCAAGGCAAAGAACAUGGCUACAGCAGCUAACUUUGCCAGUCGUCUACUAGAAACAAACCCCACAAAUGAGAAUCAAGCAAAGACAGCAAGGCAAGUGCUUCAAGCUGCUGAGAGGAAUAUGACAGAUGCCUCUCAGCUGAACUAUGAUUUCAGAAACCCAUUUGUGGUAUGUGGGGCAACUCAUGUGCCAAUUUACAGAGGACAGAAAGAUGUAUCUUGCCCAUAUUGCACUACACGCUUCAUUCCUAGCCAGGAAGGGCAAUUGUGUACUAUCUGUGAUCUUGCAGUGGUUGGGGCAGAUGCUUCAGGGUUGCUCUGUUCUCCUUCACAGAUACGAUGAUCAAGUUGCUGAAGUUGGAUCUACUUUUUAACUUUAUCUUGCUGACCUCUUUUAGCUGCAGAAACCUGCCUGGGUUGAUCGAUUCAUAUCUGUGUGUGAAAGGUCAGAUUACUGAAGAGGAGUUGCGAACCAAAUUAAUUUUUUGUGCUAUUUCCUUUUAUUUGCUUUUUGUUUAAUUCCUCUUAAUAGUUCAUAAUGAUUUUCAAUGUAAGAAUAAAUUUGGAAUUUUCGUUAUCAGGCUUUUCUUGUCUGUUGAUGUCUAUAGACAAGUAUAUUCAUAGGUGCCUUGUUAAUUAAAUGAUGUCAUAGGUAGCACUUACAUAUCGAUUUUAUGCAUAUGUGAUUUCAGAAACUUGCUUUUUGCCAAUUAUUCGAUCUCGGGACUUUUGAAUUGGGGCCCUUCUUGGGCAGUGGAAGUUGAUUCUUUUUCCAAUUCAAAUAGUCAUAAGAGAUUUGUGGAGAUAUAUUUGCAUUAAAAUGGAUAUGUUGAGAUAUACUUAGUGCAACGAAAGUUAAUAUAAGAUUCAAUUAUAAAUUUUAAAUACAAAUUUUAUCAAUUAGUUAAAUAGUAACAAUUUUUAAAAAUAAGUUCUUUAAAGGUCGGUGAUUUACAUUUUACUUUUUAAAAAAAAAAAAAUCGUCGUGGAAUGAAAAUAUUUUCUUUGAGUCGCAGCCGCAAAUAACUUGGUUACGGCAGCGGCCUUUAACCUCUGAAAUGGUAGCAUCUUUUGCGUCCUCAAAACGUCGUCGUUAAAUAAAAAGUGGGAAGGAAGGCACUUGAAAGAAAAGUCUGUACAUCACAAACAUAGUUCCAGUACUUGAAAAAAAAAGACUCAGAUCCUUAAAAAAGAGAAUCGAAAACUCUCUCCUCUCUAUUCAUAUAAAGCGAAAGAUGGAAAGGCGCUUCCGUUUUCGUUUGUAAUUUUAGAUGCUACAUCAGAUCUGAGGUAAUUUUUCUUAGUUUCAUGCCCAUAACUUCGAUCUUCCUUAUCUCUAUGCUUGGUUCCCAAAUCCAAAUCUCCCUGUUUGGUUACGACGAUUAUUUUAUUUAGACGUUGGAUUUGGUUUUGCUUUGUAGAAAAUUGGCGGUCGAAGAGAAAGAAGAAGAAAAACGAGAAGGGGGAGAAGAUGUUGACAAAGUUUGAGACGAAGAGUAAUAGAGUAAAGGGACUGAGUUUCCACGCUAAGAGGCCAUGGAUCUUAGCCAGUCUCCACAGUGGCGUUAUCCAGUUAUGGGACUAUCGUAUGGGUACUCUGAUUGAUCGAUUCGACGAACACGAUGGCCCCGUUCGCGGCGUCCAUUUCCACAUGUCUCAGCCUUUGUUCGUCUCUGGAGGUUGGGAUUUCAUUUAUUUUCGCUCAAUUUUAUCUGUGCUUAGUAAAUCUUGUUGAUUGUUUUGGUGAUCUAAGGAAUUGGAUGUGAAGUUGUUAUUUGUGCUGAUUAAUUAGGAUUGGAUUAGCUUAACUUGUGGAGCUCUUUUAUUCUUGUGACUAUGAAAUUUGAGAAAAUCUGAUGCGUAUGAUAAUACUGGAUCUAGAUUUACUACAGUGAUUUCAUGUAGUCAGCCUUAGUUUACUCCUUCUAGAUCUGACGUUCUCGAGAAAAUGAAUGCCAAUCCAACCAUAGACUGAAUUAUAUAGGCUAUAGUAUAUACGUUCAUAUCUGCAUGAACACAUAUAUUUAUAUACAUUUAUUCAGUGGUUUUUCGUAUACUGCUUGCAAUGUAUAGAUCUAUUUAUAUUGUUUUGAUGUCUUUUUUUUAAACUAUAAAUUUAAAGGGUUUUGAUCAUGGAGAUUCUUAAAACAAUAAGUUUGAGUACAAAUGAGUGUGAAUUGGUUAUAACUAUUUAGGAUUUAAUGCACUUAAAUUUUGUACGUACAAAUGGAAUAUAUUAAAUUUAUUACAAUUUAAAUUCCAUUUUAACAGAAUCCUCAUUCACUCGUAUUAGUGAUUCUAUCAUUAGAUUUAGGAGAACAUAAAUAGAUUUAUAUAAGAAGGCGAAUCAAAAUUUACUUAUUUAUAAUUUAAAGUUAUUAAAGGAUAAUUUAGUAAUACAAAAAAUAUUAAUGUACUUUUGUUUGGCAGGCUACACUGCGUAAAAGAUAGGGGAAUAGCACUUUGUAGCACUUAUCCCUUUGUUUAAACUGAGAAAUAACUCGUUCAACUUGGCACCUUAAAUGUUAAACUACCAUCUGAAUAGAUCUAUUGCUGAAAAGGGAUGCCUUUGAGUGUAGUAAUUUGAAAAUUUUUAAAACUGGUCAACAUGGGCAAGGAAAGUCUGAAUUUGAAGUUUUUAUUAACUCAAAAAGUUACAUUUGUGCUAUGAUUUUCUUUUAAAAAGCAUAGGAUUCUUAUGCAAUACAAAUGAUACUAAAAAUGAUGGGAUUUUUCAGGGGAUGACUACAAGAUAAAGGUCUGGAACUACAAGUUGCAUAGAUGUCUUUUCACACUUCUUGGGCAUCUUGAUUAUAUUCGUACUGUGCAAUUUCAUCAUGAGCAUCCGUGGAUUGUGAGUGCCAGUGAUGAUCAGACUAUUCGCAUCUGGAACUGGCAGUCACGAACUUGCAUAUCUGUGUUGACUGGCCAUAAUCAUUAUGUUAUGUGUGCCUCAUUCCAUCCUAAAGAAGACCUCGUUGUAUCGGCCUCCCUUGAUCAGACUGUUCGGGUUUGGGAUAUUGGUUCCCUGAGAAAGAAGACUGUCUCCCCAGCGGAUGACAUUUUGCGGUUAAGUCAGAUGAACACAGAUCUUUUUGGUGGUGUUGACUCAGUUGUUAAGUAUGUGUUGGAAGGUCAUGACCGAGGAGUAAAUUGGGCUGCAUUUCACCCCACCUUACCGCUGAUUGUCUCUGGAGCAGAUGAUCGACAAGUGAAAUUGUGGCGUAUGAACGGUAAUUAUCGGAAACUGUGCCUUCUUCUCCAUUUAUAUUUCAUUUACUAGCGAUAUUGAUUAAUUUUUUUCUUAUGUAAAUACACUUAUUGGCCAAUUAAAAUCUUCAUAAGAACUUACCUAAUUAUCUUCUUUUUUUUUUUUUCUGAAAUUUGAUGUAUGCUAAAUGGCCCAUUAUAUAUGAGCCAAGCUACCUCAAAUCCUCCAUUAUAUUUAUGAUCUUGGCAGUGUAUAGGUGCGGAGCCCAAAGAGUGUCCUUGUACAACCUGCUAAAGUUGACAGAUCAAUUUUUUUUUUGCAGCAGAGAAUUCAGACCCCUGAAUUGUUGUGGGACUGAGUAAAUUGUUUAUUUGUUUGCAGAGACAAAGGCUUGGGAAGUGGAUACCUUGAGAGGGCACAUGAAUAACGUGUCAUGUGUUAUGUUUCAUGCCAAACAAGACAUCAUUGUGUCUAAUUCCGAGGAUAAAAGUAUUCGUGUGUGGGAUGUAACAAAGCGAACUGGACUUCAAACUUUCCGUCGAGAACAUGACAGAUUCUGGAUUCUUGCUGCCCAUCCUGAAAUGAAUCUUUUGGCUGCUGGACAUGACAGUGGCAUGAUUGUAUUUAAGCUAGAGAGAGAGCGUCCUGCUUUUGCAGUGAGUGGGGAUUCUCUCUUUUAUGCCAAAGACCGGUUUUUAAGAUAUUAUGAGUUUUCAACUCAAAGAGAGGCGCAAGUAAUUCCAAUUCGACGGCCUGGUUCCACAACGUUGAAUCAAAGUCCAAGGACUCUUUCUUACAGUCCUACAGAAAAUGCUGUUCUUAUCUGCUCAGAUGUUGAUGGAGGAUCUUAUGAGUUGUAUGUGAUACCAAAAGACAGCAUUGGUAGGGGUGACAGUUUGCAGGAGGCAAAGA